UGCGUAGGCGGACUAAUAAGUCAGUGGUGAAAUCUCUCGGCUCAACCGGGAAACUGCCAUUGAUACUGUUAGUCUUGAGUUCGGUUGAGGUAGGCGGAAUGUGUAAUGUAGCGGUGAAAUGCUUAGAUAUUACACAGAACACCAAUUGCGUAGGCAGCUUACUAGACCGACACUGACGCUGAGGCACGAAAGCGAGGGUAGCGAACAGGAUUAGAUACCCUGGUAGUC
rnacentral:rRNA from 1 species